rnacentral:rRNA from 1 species
ACUCAAAUGAAUAGACGGGGGCCCGCACAAGCGGUGGAGCAUGUGGUUCAAUUCGACGCAACGCGCAGAACCUUACCUGGUCUUGACAUCCUCGGAACCUGCCAGAGAUGGUGGGGUGCCCGCAAGGGAACCGAGAGACAGGUGCUGCAUGGCUGUCGUCAGCUCGUGUCGUGAGAUGUUGGGUUAAGUCCCGCAACGAGCGCAACCCUCGCCUUUAGUUGCCACGCAAGUGGAUCUCUAGAGGGACUGCCGGUGUUAAACCGGAGGAAGGUGGGGAUGACGUCAAGUCCUCAUGGCCUUUAUGACCAGGGCUACACACGUGCUACAAUGGCCGGUACAAAGCGCUGCCAACCCGCGAGGGGGAGCCAAUCGCAUAAAACCGGUCUCAGUUCAGAUUGGAGUCUGCAACUCGACUUCAUGAAGGCGGAAUCGCUAGUAAUCGUAGAUCAGCACGCUACGGUGAAUACGUUCCCGGGCCUUGCACACACCGCCCGU